rnacentral:rRNA from 1 species
GGAUGAACGCUGGCGGGAUGCCUAACACAUGCAAGUCGAGCGGCAGCACUUCGGGUGGCGAGCGGCGAACGGCUGAGUAACAUGUUGGUACUCACCCCAUACUCAGGAAUAAGCCUUGGAAACGAGGUCUAAUGCCGGAUGACCCAGUAAUGGGAAAGACUUAUCGGUAUGGGAGAGGCCUGCAUCGUAUCUAGUUAGUUGGUGAGGUAAUAGCUCACCAAGGCUAUGACGGGUAUCUGGUGUGAGAGCACGACCAGACAGAAUGGGACUGAGACACGGCCCAUACUCCUACGGGAGGCAGCAGUGAGGAAUUUUCCGCAAUGGACGAAAGCCUGACGGAGCAAUCCCGCGUGCAGGAUGACACCUUUCGGGGCGUAAACUGCUUUUAUGAGGGAAGAAAUUUUGACGGUACCUCAUGAAUAAGGGGCUGCUAACUACGUGCCAGCAGCCGCGGUAAUACGUAGGCCCCAAGCGUUAUCCGAAAUUACUGGGUGUAAAGCGAUCGAAGGUGGACUUGUAAGUGAGGUGUAAAUACCUGCGGCUCAACCGAGGUGCUGCACUUCAAACUACAGGACUAGAGGAAUGCAGAGGAAACUGGAAUUUCUGUUGUAUGGGUAAAAUCCGUAGAUAACAGAAGGAACACCAAAAGCGAAGGCAGGUUUCUGGGCAUUUCCUGACACUGCACGAUCGAAAGCGUGGGGAGCGAAAGGGAUUAGAUACCCGUGUAGUCCACGCCCUAAACGAUGGAUACUCGGUGUAGGAGGGUCAAAUCCCCUUCUGUGCCCAAGCUAACGCGUUAAGUAUUCCGCCUGGGGAGUACGGUCGCAAGACUAAAACUCAAAGGAAUAGACGGGGAUCCACACAAGCGGUGGAGCAUCUGGUUUAAUUCGAUAAUAAGCGGGGAACCUUACCAGGUCUUGACAUCCCGAGAAUCUCAAUGAGAAUUGAGAGUGCCUUUCGAGGAACUCGGUGACAGGUGUUGCAUGGUUGUCGUCAGCUCGUGCCUUGAGGUGUGCGGUUAAGUCCGUGAACGAGCGCAACCCUCGUCGUACGUUGCAUUUUUCGUGCGAGACUGCCCGUUUUACGCGGGAGGAAGGUGAGGAUGACGUCAAAUCAGGAUGGCCCUUAUGAUCUGGGCGACACAGGUGCUACAAUGGCUGGUACAAAGGGCAGCGAAAUCGCGAGGGGGAGCCAAUCCCAAAAAACCGGUCUCAGUUCGGAUUGGAGUCUGCAACUCGACUCCAUGAAGCUGGAAUCGCUAGUAACCGUGAAUCAGCCACGUCACGGUGAAUAUGUUCCUGGAUCUUGUACUCACCGCCCGUCAAGUCACGAAAGGUAGGGGUGCCCAAAGUCG